AAAGCAGGUCAUAGUGAUCCGGUGGUUCUGAAUGGAAGGGCCAUCGCUCAACGGAUAAAAGGUACUCCGGGGAUAACAGGCUGAUACCGCCCAAGAGUUCAUAUCGACGGCGGUGUUUGGCACCUCGAUGUCGGCUCAUCACAUCCUGGGGCUGAAGUAGGUCCCAAGGGUAUGGCUGUUCGCCAUUUAAAGUGGUACGCGAGCUGGGUUUAGAACGUCGUGAGACAGUUCGGUCCCUAUCUGCCGUGGGCGCUGGAGAACUGAGGGGGGCUGCUCCUAGUACGAGAGGACCGGAGUGGACGCAUCACUGGUGUUCGGGUUGUCAUGCCAAUGGCACUGCCCGGUAGCUAAAUGCGGAAGAGAUAAGUGCUGAAAGCAUCUAAGCACGAAACUUGCCCCGAGAUGAGUUCUCCCUGAGACUUAAAGUCUCCUGAAGGAACGUUGAAGACGACGACGUUGAUAGGCCGGGUGUGUAAGCGCAGCGAUGCGUUGAGCUAACCGGUACUAAUGAACCGUGAGGCUUAACCUUACAAC
rnacentral:rRNA from 1 species